rnacentral:rRNA from 1 species
ACGUACACUCCUGCGGGAGGCAGCAGUGAGGAAUAUUGGACAAUGGGUGGAAGCCUGAUCCAGCCAUCCCGCGUGCAGGAAGACGGCCCUAUGGGUUGUAAACUGCUUUUAUCUGGGGAUAAACCUACUUACGUGUAAGUAGCUGAAGGUACCAGAAGAAUAAGCACCGGCUAACUCCGUGCCAGCAGCCGCGGUAAUACGGAGGGUGCAAGCGUUAUCCGGAUUUAUUGGGUUUAAAGGGUCCGUAGGCGGACUGAUAAGUCAGUGGUGAAAUCCGACAGCUUAACUGUCGAACUGCCAUUGAUACUGUUAGUCUUGAGUAAGGUUGAAGUGGCUGGAAUAAGUAGUGUAGCGGUGAAAUGCAUAGAUAUUACUUAGAACACCAAUUGCGAAGGCAGGUCACUAAGUCUUAACUGACGCUGAUGGACGAAAGCGUGGGGAGCGAACAGGAUUAGAAACCCUGGUAGUCCCAUGA